CUAUUUUACAUUUUCCUUGGUGAAUUUUCAAGCGGGAAGUUUUCAGAGUCGAAAAAUUUCGCUGUCUCCAAAAAGUUACAGGCGCGCUUCCAAUUCCUGAAUGAAAGAUGGAUAUUGUGAUACCCAUCUUGUUCUUCUCUCACUUCGAUUUUGACUCCGACUCCAACUCAAAUCUUCUCCGACUCAUACCCAUCGACUCUGAGUCCGACUCAGAUCUUCUCCUCUGCUCCUGUUGCCUUCUCCACUGCUCCUAUUGUUUCAUGAAGCAAUUUGGUACUUGAGUUAAUUUUAGGGAUUAGCUGGAGACGACGAAGAAGGAUUGACAAAUAAACGAUUGGCUUUUCGUAUUUCUGGGUCUGUCUUAACAAAGACUUAUGACAUGAUUGACGAGGAUUUACCCAUUUUAAGAAAAGCAAUAGGGACUGAUAUACAAUGGUAUAGUUGAACACGUUUGACACCAAAGCUCAAUGAGAAGAGGCUUUACGAGGGCACUAACAAUUGGGGAAGUUUCUUCAACUUCUUCAGUCCACCCGAAGUCCCCAGAGUUAUAGAUGGAAAAGCGGUUUCUGAACUUAUUAGGAGGAUGAUUCCAAGUCAUACUAGUAUGAUUGUUCCAAAUGAUACAUGUGUUCUUUAAAUUCCCAAAUUCUGUGUUCGUUUGUUGUUUGGACCAUUAUACUGAGUAACUGAGGUAUUCCACUUUUUUUUUUCCUUAUGUUCUUGACAUUGUUCUUUACAGGUCAACCAUUCGAGAGGUCAUUCCCCAUGUUGUGUCAUGGUUUGCAAAAAAUGGACCAACUUCUGCCACCUCUCUCCUCGGUAGUUCACCUAUCAGAAUAUCCAAUCUUGCCUCUGGAGGAGUUCUCAACGACCAGGCAGUGCUAGUGAGCACUUUCAAUGAUAAGAUGCCGAUUUUGGAUGGGCAGGACUCUAUGAUCCUGAGGAGCCUUUGACAUAUCCAGGCAUGAUUAUCACUAUCUUGAUUGAGGAAACUUGAUAAACUAGAGGAAGAGUUUUUCAAAAAGAGAGGAGCACUUAGAGCCAAGUAUGAAGAAUUGUAUGAACAUCUCUACAACAAGAUAUCAUACAUGCAAAUCGUGCUCAAGUGAGGGAGUCAAAUCAAGGUAGAUCAAGCAGUAAGACAAGCAAUGCAACUUGCAGAGUGUUGAUGGCUGCAAAGUCUACUGCAGCUCAGCAAUGAGGAGUUAGAGAUAGUCAAAGCUGGUGUCGCUCAGCAAAAUGAAGAGUUAGAGGCAGUGAAGGCUAGAGCCGCUGCACAAAAUGAAGAGUUGGAGGCACUAAAGGCAAGACAAAAUAAUAACGACAUACUUUUACUUAAAUUGACGGCGCAGUUAUCCUCUCAAAACUGAUGAUUGGUCUAAGCUUCAAAAAAGUACGUCUUGCAAACUUCCAUUGAAGGCUUAUUGAACUUCUAGAAAGACUUGUAUGUAUUUCGAUUUAUUUUGAAAUUGCUAUUAAGGAUGGAUAUUGACAUUUGUAUAUUUUGGAUUUGCAAAUUUAAUUAGUAUUUCAGGAUAGAGAUACAUGUCUUAUAUUGUUUUAAUAUUGAUAUAUAACUGGUUUUUGAGUACAUUUGAUUUUA